GAUAACUGGCUUGCGGCAGCCAAGCGUCCGUAGCGACGUUGCUUUUUGAUCCUUCGAUGUCGGCUCUUCCUAUCAUUGCGAAGCAGAAUUCGCCAAGCGUUGGAUUGUUCACCCACCAAUAGGGAACGUGAGCUGGGUUUAGACCGUCGUGAGAGGCU
rnacentral:ncRNA from 1 species